GUCUACGGCCAUGCCACCCUGAAUGCGCCCAAUCUCGUCUGAUCUCGGAAGCUAAGCAGGGUUGGGCCUGGUUAGUUCUUGGAUGGGAGACCACCUAGGAAGACUACCGUAGGUG
rnacentral:rRNA from 1 species